UGCACACACGAGUUGCAGCCAACCCGCGGCGAACGAACACAUUGUCCCCCUCGGCGGGUCGUGGCGCCUCGCGGCGUCGCGGCCGGCCGGCUCCCUUCGUCACGAGCGAGCUCGCGCUCCCUCGCGGCGUCGGCGGGUUCACACCACAUGGAUUCACCUUGACCGAAUGACUGAGUCCCGAAAACACUGGAUUACGAAGACUCCUCCGGGAGGGGGCUCGCUCCCUCUCGCGUGGAGUUGGAGUUGUGGUGUGGAAACAUAACCAAAACAACUCUCAGCAACGGAUAUCUUGGCUCUUGCAACGAUGAAGAACGCAGCGAAAUGCGAUACGUAGUGUGAAUUGCAGAAUUCCGCGAAUCAUCGAGUCUUUGAACGCAAGUUGCGCCCGAGGCUUGUCCGAGGGCAUUUCCGCUAGAGCGUCACCGCGCCCCCCACCCACCCGCUCCCUCCGGGAGUCGGGUGGCGUGAAAGUGGCCGUCCCGGCGUCGGGCUUCGCGGCCUGACUGCGGGGUCGGCUGAAAUGGAAGGAAUCGGGCCGCCGUGGUGACACAGUCCGCGAUCGGGUGAUCCGCGCUCCUUCGGGAGCCCGGAAUAUUUCUAAGUGCGUGGCUGCGCCCCCAGUUGGCUCCGGUUACCUCGUGCAGGUCGGGCGCGCCCCCCGUGAAUGGGGCGGCGCGCGUCACGUCACGCAUCAGACCUCUAAU
rnacentral:sRNA from 1 species